rnacentral:rRNA from 1 species
GAUGAACGCUAGCGAUAGGCCUAACACAUGCAAGUCGAGGGGCAUCACAUGAAGUAGCAAUACGGAUGGUGGCGACCGGCGCACGGGUGAGUAACACGUAUGCAACCUGCCUUCAACAAGGGGAUAACCCGUUGAAAGACGGACUAAUACCCUAUAACACAGGGGUCCCGCAUGGGAAUAUUUGUUAAAGGACAACCGGUUGAAGAUGGGCAUGCGUUCCAUUAGCUAGUUGGCGGGGUAACGGCCCACCAAGGCAACGAUGGAUAGGGGAACUGAGAGGUUUAUCCCCCACACUGGUACUGAGACACGGACCAGACUCCUACGGGAGGCAGCAGUGAGGAAUAUUGGUCAAUGGACGCAAGUCUGAACCAGCCACGUCGCGUGAAGGAAGACGGCCCUACGGGUUGUAAACUUCUUUUAACGGGAAUAAAGUGCCCCACGCGUGGGGUUUUGCAUGUACCGUAUGAAUAAGGAUCGGC